UACAGAGGGUGCGAGCGUUAAUCGGAGUUACUGGGCGUAAAGCGUGCGCAGGCGGCUUUGCAAGACAGAUGUGAAAUCCCCGGGCUCAACCUGGGAACUGCAUUUGUGACUGCAAGGCUGGAGUACGGUAGAGGGGGAUGGAAUUCCGCGUGUAGCAGUGAAAUGCGUAGAUAUGCGGAGGAACACCGAUGGCGAAGGCAAUCCCCUGGACCUGUACUGACGCUCAUGCACGAAAGCGUGGGGAGCAAACAGG
rnacentral:rRNA from 1 species